rnacentral:lncRNA from 12 species
AUGAAGUUCAAAAUAUACAUUGGAUGUUCAUCAAUCAAUGAUUGUUACAGUUUUACUUGGAUUCAUAAAACAGGACGUUUUCUUUCAGAAGAAAGAAGAGGUGAUGGCUACAAACUGGGGCAGAGAGAAAUUGAAGGCAGCAGGAAGACAAUAAGCAGAAGGAGCAGAAAGAAAGCUUUCUAUGUUCCUGUAGAACUCUCCCAGGUUGCCCUGGGGUGA